rnacentral:miRNA from 1 species
UUGACGUCAUCACGGUAUUUGCUCGGUCUACAUUUGGGAAAGUACAAUGAUCUCACAUCAUCGGUUUUUUCCCCAAGUAUAGACAAAGAAACACCAAGAUAACGUGC